rnacentral:rRNA from 1 species
UGGGGAAUUUGGACAAUGGGCGAAAGCCUGAUCCAGCAAUGCCGCGUGUGUGAAGAAGGCCUUCGGGUUGUAAAGCACUUUUGUCCGGAAAGAAAUCCUUGGCUCUAAUACAGUCGGGGGAUGACGGUACCGGAAGAAUAAGCACCGGCUAACUACGUGCCAGCAGCCGCGGUAAUACGUAGGGUGCAAGCGUUAAUCGGAAUUACUGGGCGUAAAGCGUGCGCAGGCGGUUUGCUAAGACCGAUGUGAAAUCCCCGGGCUCAACCUGGGAACUGCAUUGGUGACUGGCAGGCUAGAGUAUGGCAGAGGGGGGUAGAAUUCCACGUGUAGCAGUGAAAUGCGUAGAGAUGUGGAGGAAUACCGAUGGCGAAGGCAGCCCCCUGGGCCAAUACUGACGCUCAUGCACGAAAGCGUGGGGAGCAAAACAGGGUUAGAUACCCUGGUAGUCCACGCCCUAAAACGAUGUCAACUAGUUGUUGGGGAUUCAUUUCCUUAGUAACGUAGCUAACGCGUGAAGUUGACCGCCUGGGGAGUACGGUCGCAAGAUUAAAACUCAAAUGAAUUGACGGGGUCAUAGCUGUUUCCU